rnacentral:rRNA from 1 species
GAUGAACGCUAGCGACAGGCUUAACACAUGCAAGUCGAGGGGCAGCGGGGGCAGCAAUGCCUGCCGGCGACCGGCGCACGGGUGAGUAACGCGUAUGCAACUUGCCUAUCAGAGGGGAAUAGCCCGGCGAAAGUCGGAUUAAUGCUCCAUAAAACAGGGGGUCCCGCAUGGGAAUAUUUGUUAAAGAUUCAUCGCUGAUAGAUAGGCAUGCGUUCCAUUAGGCAGUUGGCGGGGUAACGGCCCACCAAACCGACGAUGGAUAGGGGUUCUGAGAGGAAGGUCCCCCACAUUGGAACUGAGACACGGGUCCAA